rnacentral:rRNA from 1 species
AGCAUUUACGAAGUUAGCCGAAUGGCGUGGGAAAGCCAUCCGAAGAGUGUGAGAGACACGUAGGCGAAAACGAAGUAGAGCGAGCAGGAUCCGGAGUACCGCGGGACACGAGGAAUCCCGUGGGAAGCAGGGGGGACCACCCUCCAAGCCUAAAUAUUACUCGGUGACCGAUAGAGAAGUAGUACUGUGAAGGAAAGGUGAAAAGGACCCCGGGAGGGGAGUGAAAAAGAACCUGAAACCCUGUGCUUACAAGCACACAGAGCACGUCAAAGUGUGAUGUGGUACUUUUUGUAGAACGGUCCGGCGAGCGAAUGUAUGCAGCGAGGUUAAGCAAUUAAGUUGUGGAGCCGAAGCGAGAGCGAGUGUUAAUAGUGCGAAAAGUUGCAUGCAUUGAGCCCGAAACCAGGUGACCUAACCAUGAACAGGCUGAAGUUGAGGUAAAGCUCAAUGGAGGGCCGAACACACGUCCGUUGAAAAGGCCGGUGAUGAUUUGUGGUUAGCGGAGAAAUUCCAAUCGAACCUGGAGAUAGCUGGUUCUCUCCGAAAUAGUUUUAGGACUAGCCUCAUAUUAGAUUCACGGGGGUAAAGCACUGAAUGGGCUAGGGGCCGAGAGGUUACUGAACCCUAUCAAACUAAGAAUACCGAGGAAUUGAUGUAUGGGAGUCAGACUAUGUGAGAUAAGUUUCAUAGUCAAAAGGGAAACAGCCCAGAUCUACAGCUAAGGUCCCAAAGCAGGUUUAAGUGGAAAAGGAUGUGAAGUUGCGAAGACAGCCAGGAUGUUGGCUUAGAAGCAGCCACUCAUUCAAAGAGUGCGUAAUAGCUCACUGGUCGAGUGACUUUGCGCCGAAAAUUUAACGGGGCUAAAAACCUGCACCGAAGCUUAGGCAUUGUGUAAUGCAAUGGGUAGGAGAGCGUUGUAUAUGGGGUGAAGCAGCAGCGGAAGCGGCUGUGGACUGUAUAGAAGUGAGAAUGCCGGAAUGAGUAGCGCGAUUUAUGUGAGAAUCAUAAAGGCCGAAAACCUAAGGUUUUUGGAGGAAGGUUCGUCCGCUCCAAGUUAGCCGGGAGCUAAGGUGAGGCUGAAAAGCGUAGCCGAUGCACAUACGGUAGAGAUUCCGUAGCUAACGAAAUUUAAGCGUGGGGACACUUUCGAAGGUUGUAUGCCGGUGGAUGGAAAGCCGGUCGAAAGGGAGACGAGUGAGUCGAAGAUACAAUUGGAGAGAGGCGAGAAAAGCCACGAGGGAUAAUAAGUUACCCGUACCGCAAACCGACACAGGUAGGAAGGAAGAGGAUUCUAAGGCCAACGGGAGAAGGGUUGUUAAGGAACUCGGCAAAAUGUCCCCGUAACUUCGGGAGAAGGGGAGCUGCAGAGAUGCAGUCGCAGAGAAGAGGUCCAGGCAACUGUUUAGCAAAAACACAGGUCUGUGCUAAAUCGAAAGAUGACGUAUACGGGCUGACGCCUGCCCGGUGCCGGAAGGUUAAGGGAAAUUGUGAGAGCAAUGAACCGAAGCCCCGGUAAACGGCGGCCGUAACUAUAACGGUCCUAAGGUAGCGAAAUUCCUUGUCAGGUAAGUUCUGACCCGCACGAAAGGCGUAAUGAUCUGGACGCUGUCUCGACAGCCCGCCCGGCGAAAUUGUAGUACCGGUGAAGAUGCCGGUUACCCGCGACAAGACGGAAAGACCCCAUGGAGCUUUACUGUAGUCUAAUAUUGGGUUUCGAUAUUACAUGUACAGGAUAGGUAGGAGACUGGGAAGCAUGAGCGUCAGCUUGUGUGGAGUCGAUGUUGGGAUACUACUCUUGUGAUAUUGGAAUUCUAACCUGCGGCUUUGAAGCAAGUCGGGGGACAUUGUUAGAUGGGCAGUUUGACUGGGGCGGUCGCCUCCGAAAGAGUAACGGAGGCGUUCAAAGGUUAGCUCAGGAUGGACGGAAACCAUCUUAAAGAGUGCAAACGCAGAAGCUAGCCUGACUGUGAGACUGACAGGUCGAACAGAGACGAAAGUCGGAGUUAGUGAUCCGGUGGUAUGUGAGUG